rnacentral:rRNA from 2 species
UGGGGAAUAUUGCACAAUGGGCGAAAGCCUGAUGCAGCGACGCCGCGUGAGGGAUGACGGCCUUCGGGUUGUAAACCUCUUUCAGCAGGGACGAAGCGCAAGUGACGGUACCUGCAGAAGAAGCACCGGCUAACUACGUGCCAGCAGCCGCGGUAAUACGUAGGGUGCAAGCGUUGUCCGGAAUUACUGGGCGUAAAGAGUUCGUAGGCGGUUUGUCGCGUCGUUUGUGAAAACCAGCAGCUCAACUGCUGGCUUGCAGGCGAUACGGGCAGACUUGAGUACUGCAGGGGAGACUGGAAUUCCUGGUGUAGCGGUGAAAUGCGCAGAUAUCAGGAGGAACACAGGUGGCGAAGGCGGGUCUCUGGGCAGUAACUGACGCUGAGGAACGAAAGCGUGGGUAGCGAACAGG